GCACCCGUAGCGCAGUCUGGACAUAGCAAAUCUUGAUUUAUGAGAUUUCCUUUGGGGCAAAUAGCGCGACAGCCUCCUAAGCUGUAGGUCGGGAGUUCGAAUCUCCCCGGGUGCG
rnacentral:tRNA from 1 species